CCUACGGGCGGCUGCAGUGGGGAAUAUUGGACAAUGGGCGAAAGCCUGAUCCAGCCAUGCCGCGUGUGUGAAGAAGGCCUUCGGGUUGUAAAGCACUUUCAGUGGGGAAGAAAGCCUUGGGGCUAAUACCCUCGAGGAAGGACAUCACCCACAGAAGAAGCACCGGCUAACUCCGUGCCAGCAGCCGCGGUAAUACGGAGGGUGCGAGCGUUAAUCGGAAUUACUGGGCGUAAAGCGCGCGUAGGCGGUCUGAUAAGCCGGUUGUGAAAGCCCCGGGCUCAACCUGGGAACGGCAUCCGGAACUGUCAGGCUAGAGUGCAGGAGAGGAAGGUAGAAUUCCCGGUGUAGCGGUGAAAUGCGUAGAGAUCGGGAGGAAUACCAGUGGCGAAGGCGGCCUUCUGGACUGACACUGACGCUGAGGUGCGAAAGCGUGGGUAGCAAACAGGAUUAGUACCCGAGUAGUC
rnacentral:rRNA from 1 species